rnacentral:rRNA from 1 species
UACAGAGGUCUCAAGCGUUGUCCGGAGUUACUGGGCGUAAAGCGCACGCAGGCGGUCUGCUAAGUUUGGAGUGACAGUUGGUGGCUUAACUGCCAAAGUGCUUCGAAAACUGACAGACUUGAGGGCUUCAGAGGGACACGGAAUUCCGGGUGGAGUGGUGAAAUGCGUAGAGAUCCGGAGGAACACCAAAGGCGAAGGCAGUGUCCUGGGGAGUACCUGACGCUCAGGUGCGAAAGCCAGGGGAGCGAACGGG